GGAUUAGAUACCCUGGUAGUCCACGCCCUAAACGAUGUCAACUAGUUGUUGGUGGAGUAAGAUCCAUGAGUAACGUAGCUAACGCGUGAAGUUGACCGCCUGGGGAGUACGGUCGCAAGAUUAAAACUCAAAGGAAUUGACGGGGGCCCGCACAAGCGGUGGAUUAUGUGGAUUAAUUCGAUGCAACGCGAAAAACCUUACCUGGCCUUGACAUGUACCGAAUUUAGCAGAGAUGCUUUAGUGCUCGUAAGAGAACGGUAACACAGGUGCUGCAUGGCUGUCGUCAGCUCGUGCCG
rnacentral:rRNA from 1 species